GAUGAACGCUAGCGGCAGGCCUAAUACAUGCAAGUCGGACGGGAUUCAGGAGCUUGCUUCUGAUGAGAGUGGCGCACGGGUGCGUAACACGUAUGUAACCUACCUUUAUCAGGGGGAUAGCCUCUCGAAAGAGAGAUUAAGCCCGCAUAAAAUCACAGCACAGCAUUGUGUAAUGAUCAAAUAUUUAUAGGAUAAAGAUGGGCAUGCGGAACAUUAGCUAGAUGGCGGGGUAACGGCCCACCAUGGCGACGAUGUUUAGGGGAUCUGAGAGGAUGGCCCCCCACACUGGUACUGAGACACGGACCAGGCUCCUACGGGAGGCAGCAGUAAGGAAUAUUGGUCAAUGGGCGGAAGCCUGAACCAGCCAUGCCGCGUGCAGGAAGACGGCCCUACGGGUUGUAAACUGCUUUUAGACGGGAAUAAACCCAGAUACGUGUAUCUGGCUGAAUGUACUGUAAGAAUAAGGAUCGGCUAACUCCGUG
rnacentral:rRNA from 1 species